GAUGAACGCUGGCGGCGUGCCUAAUACAUGCAAGUCGAGCGAACAGACGAGGAGCUUGCUCCUCUGACGUUAGCGGCGGACGGGUGAGUAACACGUGGAUAACCUACCUAUAAGACUGGGAUAACUUCGGGAAACCGGAGCUAAUACCGGAUAACAUGUUGAACCGCAUGGUUCAACAGUGAAAGACGGUCUUGCUGUCACUUAUAGAUGGAUCCGCGCCGCAUUAGCUAGUUGGUAAGGUAACGGCUUACCAAGGCAACGAUGCGUAGCCGACCUGAGAGGGUGAUCGGCCACACUGGAACUGAGACACGGUCCAGACUCCUACGGGAGGCAGCAGUAGGGAAUCUUCCGCAAUGGGCGAAAGCCUGACGGAGCAACGCCGCGUGAGUGAAGAAGGUCUUCGGAUCGUAAAACUCUGUUAUUAGGGAAGAACAAAUGUGUAAGUAACUAUGCACGUCUGGACGGUACCUAAUCAGAAGGCCACGGCUAACUACGU
rnacentral:rRNA from 1 species